UGGCAUAUGCUCAAAGAGACAAAUUACAUCCAUAAGAAAACAAACUCAAAUACAUUCGAUUCGCUGGACAGAAAUCGACGAAAACAAAUUGGUCACUGUUUGUUAGGCUUGUUUUAAGAAAUUAAUACCUGAAAUUUGUCUUCCAUUUUCCCAAUCCAAAUAUCAGUAUUUUUUGAGUCUAGGAUAAGUCAGAUGCCAGCGAAGAAGCCAAAGCCAUUUGUACACAUUUAACUAUAAAUCAUAGACUACUUGUGUAGCUCUAUUACUCUAAUUGAUUUACUAGAUGAGAGAAAACUCAUUGAUCAUAGUGAUAGAAAACAUGAUGCCUAAAUAAGAAUAUUGACUGUAACUAUUCUAAUAUCAAGGAAAUGAAAAAGGAAAGAACAAAAAAUGAAGAAAACAUGUUUAAACAGUUGAAAUGCCUAAAAGAUUCUUUCAAACAUUUCAAUGACUAAACUAUACAGAUUCAGUAACCAAAAUCAAACAUGAUAUUCAAGAGCAAUCUCAAAUACGAAAGAAACUACCAAAAUCAACUACAAAUCCGACAAUUCGAACAGUUUAUGAGGAAUACGCUACUCUAAAUCCUACUAUAUGUAAUUCUCCCUGAAUUAUUGUCCAUUCAACAGAUCUAGUGUAGCCAUAAUAAAUUGAGAGAGAACAAAUUAAAAAUACACAUAGUAACUCAAGAAGAACACAUGUAGGAAGAAUUGAAAGUCCCUGUUUCAUCCAUUGAAUUUCUCAUUACAAAUACACAUAUCAAAGCACUUUUGCACUUUAGUAGUCAUCACAAUCCAAUAAUUACAUGGAUAUAAGGAGCACAAAUGAUGAGAAAGCAAGAAAAUUCAGUAUAGCAAGCAAGUGAAGAAGCAACAAUGACCAGCCAACAAACGGCUUCAACUCAAUCCAUAUCUAAAUCAGAGAUUCAGAGAAAGGAUUUCAGAGUAGGUUUGUUUCUUUUAGAAAAGAAAAAUCAGAAGCGAAAGCAAUCGGCUCUUUCAAAUAGUGCAUCAACUUUGGAAUUAUUUUAGGCUUUCCAAUCUCUACCCAAAAAUGGAGGAAAAGGGUUCUUAUAUAGGUUUUUCUAUGGCAGCCCUAGCCUGGUUUGCUAAUUUUCCUUCUACCCGUUAUUUCUAUCAGUCAUUUUACCCCUUAACCCCUUAAAAAUAUCUAAGCCCUUCCUUAAAUCUUAAAAACCAGCCUAACCUUAUCCUCUAAAAGCUUCCCAUAACAUUAGGGGUGUUCAAAACCGAUCCGAAACCGAAGCUUAACGGCUUAUUGGUAACGGCUUAACGGCUUAAUGGAUGGGGAACGGAUUGA
rnacentral:lncRNA from 1 species